UACGUAGGGCGCAAGCGUGUCCGGAAUUAUUGGGCGUAAAGAGCUCGUAGGCGGUUUGUCGCGUCUGCUGUGAAAACGCGAGGCUCAACCUCGCGCCUGCAGUGGGUACGGGCGGACUAGAGUGCGGUAGGGGAGAUUGGAAUUCCUGGUGUAGCGGUGGAAUGCGCAGAUAUCAGGAGGAACACCGAUGGCGAAGGCAGAUCUCUGGGCCGUAAACUGACGCUGAGGAGCGAAAGCGU
rnacentral:rRNA from 1 species